rnacentral:rRNA from 1 species
AUUGAACGCUGGCGGCACGCCUAACACAUGCAAGUCGAGCGGAUGAAGGGAGCUUGCUCCUGGAUUCAGCGGCGGACGGGUGAGUAAUGCCUAGGAAUCUGCCUGGUAGUGGGGGAUAACGUCCGGAAACGGGCGCUAAUACCGCAUACGUCCUGAGGGAGAAAGUGGGGGAUCUUCGGACCUCACGCUAUCAGAUGAGCCUAGGUCGGAUUAGCUAGUUGGUGGGGUAAAGGCCUACCAAGGCGACGAUCCGUAACUGGUCUGAGAGGAUGAUCAGUCACACUGGAACUGAGACACGGUCCAGACUCCUACGGGAGGCAGCAGUGGGGAAUAUUGGACAAUGGGCGAAAGCCUGAUCCAGCCAUGCCGCGUGUGUGAAGAAGGUCUUCGGAUUGUAAAGCACUUUAAGUUGGGAGGAAGGGCAGUAAGUUAAUACCUUGCUGUUUUGACGUUACCAACAGAAUAAGCACCGGCUAACUUCGUG